AUUAUUUCUAUAAUAUAGACUAAAUGGAUUAUUUAUAGUCUUGUUUAACUUUAUAUUUUUGACAUAUGACAUGUAGUAACAUACCAUAUUAGUACCAUAUUAGUUUAAAUCAGUUGUAAAAUUAAAAAUGUUAACAUCUUUGAUAGGUAUAUUUAUUUAGGUUAAUUACAGCUAAGUUUACAUGGCUAGUUAAUAUGCUUUUAUAAAUUGCAAUUUUUAUUAAUUUCCAAAUUAAACAUGUGGCAUCCAAUAUCAUAAACUAAGAUUAUACUGGUGUGUUUAUAUUAUUUUAGAAUUUUUUGUUUUAGACACAUGGCAUUUGUUAUCCCACUAAUUUGCUGCUUUAGAGGCAUAGCAUUUAGUGUCACAUUGUAGGUUUAAAUUGGUUGUAGAAUUUAUAUUGUAACUUGCAUAUUUAUUUAGUUGAGUUUAAUCUAAGUUUAUAUCUGAUGUGUUUGUAUUAUUUUAGAAUUUACUGUUUUAGACACGUGGCAUGUGGUAUCCCACUAAUUAGCUAUUUUAAACAUGUGACAAGUGGUAUGACACUGUAUUGAUGUAUGUGAAAUGUAUAGAGUCUUUCAGUUAUCAGAUAAUAUCAAGGCAAUCUUAUACUUUUUUUUUAAUUUACAUUUUAAUAAAGAUAUAAUUUACUUGUUCCAUUUAACUUUAUCUUUAAAAAAACGAUAUCAGAGAUAAUUAAAAUAACAAAAUUUAGAAUAGAAAUUUGUAUAUAAUGAAUUACCAAAAACACUUUCUAUAGUAUUUAAACCAACCAAACCAAAACUAGCGACCAAAAACUAUCUUGGCAUUGGUUUAUUUUAAACAUCUAUUAUAUAUAUGUGUGUUUUUUAUAUAAAUGUACUAGCUUGAGUAUAGUGUA